rnacentral:ribozyme from 1 species
UCCGCUUUCCGCUCUGUAAUGGGAUGGGAUCCGAAGCUGUCCGAGGGAUAAUACAGGCUCUCCCAUCCAACUCCUAUUCCGACACGUCCUCGUCGUGCAGAGUGGUAACAUGUGCCUCUAUAUAUCCUAGCUUGGGUACACGGGCUAGAUCCAACCCCUUGGGCGGAUGGUGGCAUAUGGCGAACCAGGAGGGG